rnacentral:rRNA from 1 species
CUACGGGGGGCUGCAGUGGGGAAUAUUGGACAAUGGGGGGAACCCUGAUCCAGCCAUGCCGCGUGUGUGAAGAAGGCCCUCGGGUUGUAAAGCACUUUCAGUGAGGAAGAACGCCUGGUGGUUAAUACCCAUCAGGAAAGACAUCACUCACAGAAGAAGCACCGGCUAACUCCGUGCCAGCAGCCGCGGUAAUACGGAGGGUGCGAGCGUUAAUCGGAAUUACUGGGCGUAAAGCGCGCGUAGGUGGCUUGAUAAGCCGGUUGUGAAAGCCCCGGGCUCAACCUGGGAACGGCAUCCGGAACUGUCAAGCUAGAGUGCAGGAGAGGAAGGUAGAAUUCCCGGUGUAGCGGUGAAAUGCGUAGAGAUCGGGAGGAAUACCAGUGGCGAAGGCGGCCUUCUGGACUGACACUGACACUGAGGUGCGAAAGCGUGGGUAGCAAACAGGAUUAGAUACCCGUGUAGUC